UUCGUCGUUUUACAGCAAACUACUACUGUUACAAUGAAGACAAACGGGUUCUUCAACAAAACGGAGAUUUUUUGUUGCAAAAAUUAAAGAAAUGUCACCUUUUCCGCAUUAUAACGAGCACGAGCGCCAGUCGCGUUCUUGUACGAACAUAUAUGCCGAACGUAGUUGUUGUCACUGAUAAACUCGGCAGAACAACUGUUGGUGUAUCUGAAGAAGUUUCAAUAUACAUCUCGUCAUCUUCAGUUGGUGUUUCUGUGAAUAUAAGCAGAGUUUUCAGCACUGUUACCACAGAAUUUCCUGAAAAAUGGGUGUACGGGUUUCAGUCGUGAAUCAGACUCCUUAUACCUGGUACUUUGCCACCCAGAAUCAAGAGUAUACACGUGUCAAUCCUGGCUGCACUAAAUCAUAUAGGGAAAGAAGGAAAAUCCAUCGUUACAUCUACAUUAGAUAUGAAGAUCAUACAUGGGAUAGCUUUAAGUACGAGUUCAACACCUAUAAAUGUAACCCCUCUUUCAUCUUAAGGGAAAUCUUCGAACGAUCGGAGAUUGAGUUGCACUGCACCUCCGAGGGUGGCAGGCGUUACUGUCAAAACUACGGAAAAAGGUAAGAAGAUGAAAAGCAGAAACACUAAGAGGAGAAAAGAGGCGUUUGGAAUGGAGAGCUUUGUCAAAAGGAGCUUCACAGAGAAAGUGAAUCAACCAGACUUAGGAUGCAACAAUUAUAGAUUUUGUUGGGACAAUUAUAUGUCUGAUGAAUAAUCACGAUUGUACCAUUAUUAUGUAUUCAUUAAUUUUACUAAAUGUAUUUAUAAAAUCAAAUCACAUGAACACACUUUUGAACAAUUGUUAAAGUCUUUUGUAUUUUAAGUUUUCUGAAUUUUUUUCUACAAUUCUACAAAAACUUGAGUAAUAAAAUAACCUAACAGUAUAGCUGCCUUUUAAAGUAUAAAUAAUAUAGUCCAGAUGUGUUCAUUUUAAUUAUCUUUUUAAUAAACACAUCUCUUCCCCAUUACACAAAGACCAUAUAAUGAAAUGAUCCUGCAAAAUGUCAAUAUGACAGACCCGACUAACAGACGCAAUUCCAGUUUGACGUGAUGCUCAUCCCAGACCCGGCCCGCCUGGUGCCCAUCCUCAUGUUGCCCAACUGAUGACUUCCCAUACAGUGCCCCCCAAUCGUUCCUUGCAGCUUUGUUAAAUUCUAUAAUACAGUUAUGUCCUGUAACAGUUGCGUGAAUUAUAUUUAAUGCAAUAAGUAACACCUCAUCAUUGUCUAGACACUUUCUUUAGCAUUUAUUAUAACAAUUAAAAAUCACAUUCUUUAGCUUGCUUUUAUACAGAAAAACUAUGGAGUGCAGCUGAGAAAUGGCCCUCCCGAGAAGGGUUUUUUCUCUAUGAGUGUGUUCUUAUUUUAACCCCACUGUUGGCUUGCUUACCGGUUGACAGUAGCUUAACUUUUCUUUUGUACAAUACUGCUUUCAUUAUUAUGGUCCAAAAAUUCAUUAGUUCAUAAGUAUUAAUUAUUACAUUAUUUGUUUAGUAAAUACAUUUGAAUACAUCCAUGUACUUCAUUCUAAACUAUAUUCAAAAAUUCUCAUGCUUGCGUUGUUUUUGGUUUUCUGUUUCUACUCCAUGUUUGAACAAGGAACAAUUGUGAAAAGCGCUAUAUAAGUCAAUUUUAAACAAUAAAUUUUGAAAACAAUAUGAACUAUCAUUUUGGUGGAGUGUAUGUAAUGAGUUAUAAAAUGACAAUUAAAUAUGCUUAAGAGUCACUGUGAGAUCUGUGUUGGCUCAUAAGAGAAUUAGGAGUUGAAAUCUGUACAUAAAGAAUACAUAUGGGUAGCCAUUGUUCAACUGAAUAGGCUUUUCUGAAUAAGUUUAAUAAAGAGGCAUUAUUUAGGAAAAAACAGUUCAUACAAUAUAGAUUGCUGUAUGAUUUCCCUUUAACCAUUUUAUUGAUAAUUGCAUUGUGGGUAAAAAGUAGUGAACAAAUGUAUGGAAUGAAGUUGGCAGACACCAAAUAUAGUGCGCUAUACAGGAGAUAGGGAGCGAUUUUGGACACAGCCCUGAUUUAACUUCUUCCACCCUGAAGCUAUUUUGGCGAGUUUUACCUGGAUUUGGCCUACCCAAUUUCAAAAGCUUCCCAUACCCACAUGCAGAGGUUUACAUACAAAAGUUUGGUAUCUUUUUACAGGUAACCCUUUGAAAUGACAUAAAACACUGUUGAAAGUGCUAAACAUGGUUGUAUGUGAUAUCAGUCCUCUAAUAAACACAAAAAUAAAUAGGCGCUUUUUGAUGUUUUUUUUUCUAAAGUUUUUAUUUGAAAGUAUAUAACUCUGGCC